GACCUGCGGAGGACAUUAAAGAGUAAGGGUGCUGCAGCGCCCGACCUCCAACCCUUUGUUGUUAAAACUACCUUGUUGCUUUGGCGGGACCGCUCGGUCUCGAGCCGCUGGGGAUUCGUCCCAGGCGAGCGCCCGCCGGAGUUAAACCAAACUCUUGUUAUUAAACCGGUCGUCUGAGUUAAAAUUUUGAAUAAAUCAAAACUUUCAACAACGGAUCUCUUGGUUCUCGCAUCGAUGAAGAACGCAGCGAAAUGCGAUAAGUAAUGUGAAUUGCAGAAUUCAGUGAAUCAUCGAAUCUUUGAACGCACAUUGCGCCCCUUGGUAUUCCGAGGGGCAUGCCUGUUCGAGCGUCAUUACACCACUCAAGCUAUGCUUGGUAUUGGGUGCCGUCCUUAGUUGGGCGCGCCUUAAAGACCUCGGCGAGGCCUCACCGGCUUUAGGCGUAGUAGAAUUUAUUCGAACGUCUGUCAAAGGAGAGGACUUCUGCCGACUGAAACCUUUUAUUUUUCUAGGUUGACCUCGGAUCAGGUAGGGAUACCCGCUGAACUUAAGC
rnacentral:rRNA from 1 species